CGUGUCAAAACGCGAAAUUUGUGUUCUGAAAAUGUUUGUCUUAGCAUUGAGGGUGAGUAAUAAAUGACAUUAUUUUCAUUUUUGGGUGAACUAACUAACCCUUUAAAUCAUAAUUUUAUAGUCAUUUUAGUUAUGAUAUCAUGGCAACAAAGUUGUAUAUAAAAUCGGUUAUAACUACACAGAAAUGGUCAGUAAGCCAUUUUAUCAUUCUGAAAUUGUGAUAACACAUAUUGCUUAUGACUUGUGGCUAUACUAUUGAAAUAGUGAGUAUUUUCAUGUUAUGGAUUGACUGUAUUCGCUUGUAUUGUAAGUGUCUCAAUGCUUUUUUUUUUUAAAGAAAAGGAAAUGAAUUUGAAUGGUAACCAAAAUUAUGUCACAUAAUGCAGAUUGAGUUAACUUGUAUUGAACCAAGAAUAUUACUUUAACACUCAAAACUUUUUUUGUGUUCAGCCAUUGUUAUCAAUCUGUAAUGGGAGACUGUUUUCCAUACGAUUAACUUAUCUUUACAUUACAUUCGCUUUUUCCCAUUAAAUUUACUGCUGUAGUAUUGACUCCGCCAUAAUCUCUUGCUUUUUGUGCUAAUGUUUGUCUCACUUUAUAUUCUUACAUGGUAAGAUCAGCGGUUACAUUUCCAUAAAAGACUUAAUUCUUGUUAUUCAGCCCCUUUUCAUAUGCCGAUCAAAAGCAUCUUCUUUUCACGAAGACAGUUUUCUCAGCUGUUCCAGGUGCCAGACGGUUCAAUGGCAAUCUGAAGGAGAAGGAGGAGGAGUUGUGCUCAAUUACACGUUGAAAUGAGAGCAUACUGCCACUGUACACAACAAAAUGGCCAACUGAUAAAUGGACUGACUGAAAACAGAUGACUCUAGGAAAUUUGCUGUUAUUUGCACAAAUAUUUGUGUGAAGCGAAAGAAAAACUCUCCAUUAUACAAGUGCCCUGAGCUACAAUGAGAGCAUUGUGAAGGGACAUCAAAGCUACUGCUGCUGCUGACCCCCUAGCACUCUCUUGCAGACCCCAGUUUGAAAACUCCUGUGUUACUCUCACUGAGUGUGACAAUAAGGCUUGGACACAGCCGAAGUUUCAAUCUACCCUAGCACGCAAACUUUUGAUGACUAUCCAGAAAAUAAUUGAAGUGUCAGAAAUUAUGGCACAUUUUGAGACCCCUGGUCAAUGCGUUGAUUACCCCUUCUUUCUGGUUUCUGACACCUGACCCAAAGGUAGUGGACACACCAAUAAAUUCUUGGAGAAAAAUAAGAAAUCCUGUUCUAUUACAGAAAAAGCGUGCAGCUGCAAAGACUAUUUCUUUUUGUUUGUUUGUCAGUUUAUGACACAGUUAAACCAUGGGGAAAAUGAUAUGCUGUGAAACGGAUUGUCUUGAUUGUAGUAAUUUCUUUUUCAAGCUGGGCAAAUGGAAAGGUCACCUGAUUGGCUUGCAUGAAUGAGAAAGAUCAGUGUUAACACCAACACCUGAUUUACUCCAUCACAUGACUCAUCUCAUGCUCAUGCUCUUGAAACAACUACCCAACAGCAUGUGUAUUGGGUUUCUUAUGUUGUAUUUAACAUUGAAGUACAACAGGAUGAGUGUGAUAUUUCAGCAGGUUUUUCUCUCGUAGCCUAAAGUCUCAGUCACAAGUGUGAUUUUGUCCCCUUCUGUUUCUUCAUUGGUAUUAUUGAUCUUGGAUAUGUAUUUUGUCUUCACAGUGCUCCCGUUCUACAUCAAAGUGACAGUACUGGCUGGCAUCUUAUCAGGAUGCACUUCAUUAUAUAUGGUACAGCAAGCAUUACUGGGCAGCUCAGAAGCAAGGUUCUGAGGCUCUGCAUAUGUGUAUGUAAAUAUCCUUUUGUUAGUUUCAUUGGGUUCUGUGCAAAAUUGCUCUUGCUUGGAUCCAUGUGUUUGCUUGUUUCCAGGCUGAAUCUGAGAUCCUUUUUCAAUACAAGGCUACACAUAAACAUAAAACAAGGCUAAUGGGAUGUAAUAUGUCUACCAUGGCCUGAUAGAAUGAUGAAUUGUUUUAAUUAUAGUUCAUAUAAUGCUUCAUGCUGUCCUCGAGGUUCUAGUGCAUACUCAGCAACAGAAGAUGCAAAUACUUGAAUGGUGACUCAUCUUCAUAUACUUGGAGGAAGUAAAGGAAGUAAAGAGCUCUAAACAUGUUUGAAUUAGACAUGAGCUAACAGUUGCUGAUCCACAGACAAGUAUCUGGUCUCUGACGUAAAGUCACUUGCGAGUAAAUGGAUGUGUAGUGAUUUCAAUGAAACCAUUGGAAUGUAAUUGUUUCACCUUUAUUGGAAUGGAUAGUUGAGAUGAAGGGAAGAGGAUCAAGACAUGACUUGGAACAGAUUUUAACUCACAAACACAUACUUCGAUAUUUGGAAAACAUGUUUUGUAUGUGUAUAUAACAGUAGCCAUGUUCUAAAUGUAUUAUAAUAGUUAGAUGUAACUACCCAAGGGGUUUGGCUGGUUAGCAUAAGCCAGUUAGCCUCUGCUAGUAGUCUUUCUGUUCGCUCUCCAUUGACAGACGUUCAAAAGAAGCCAUGCGUUCUGAUCUUUUUCUUUUUUUUUUACAAGCAAAAUAUAAAUCACACAAAUCAAUUAUUAAACUAUGUACACUAUAUAACUUUUGGCCCUCUAGCGGAUAAAAAAUUAAGCUGAAUGGUUAUCCUACUGCUUAUGAAAAUUCACUACUAAGAUUUUAUAUGUGUCACAAAAUUGCUUUGACAGACCGGUUGAGGAUCCAAAUGCAGCUUUAUUAGGGCAAUCCAGAAUCAUAAUCCAUAAAACAGGCAACAGGUCAAAACACAGGGCAGAUAAUCCAAAAAGUCAACAGAGCAGAAAAACACAGGCUAAUCCAUGAAACCAGGCAGAAAGUCAAAACAUGGAUAACCAGAGCGAGCGAUAUCAGAAAUGCAGUGUGACAAUUACAAGACUUCGCAAUAAGUGAUUGAAAACACAAAGCUAAUAAAAUGCAAAAACAAACAAGUUAAUCAUGCACAGGUGGAAUCGAUAAGACCAUAAUUAAUAAGACCCAAAAUUUAGCGUGCUCUAUGUCAGCCUUUUUCGCUCAUUGUGACAAUUAACAUUUGGCACUCUCACACCGCACCGUACAUCAAAGUAGCCAGAGCAACUUUUCUCUAUUUAUGGAUAUGACGAGACACUCACACUAGGUCUAAAAUAUAAACACUUAUAAUAGGCUUACAAUAGUGAAUCAGGGUAAGACAAAAACACUAUUUUGAAGAAGGAUUGAUGUAUUGACUUAUUAUUUGUGUUUUGUUAAUUAAAAAAAAAAAAAAAAAAAAAGUUACAUAUACUGUACCUUUAAAUACAAUCCCCGCUAACAAUUUUUGGCUCCCAGAACGUUAGUUUUUGGUUCCCAGAAUGUUCUUUUUUAAGGUUUGUUUUUGGUUAGCCAGGAAAGUUUUCUUAAUGGAAGUUUUAGUUUUUGAUUUGUAGAACGUUAUUCUAGCGUUCCCCUAACAUUGUUUUAACGUUCCUCUAAUGUUAUUCUAACAUUCUCCUAAUGUUCUUCUAAAGUUGGUUCCCAGAAUGUUAGUUUUUGGUUAGCCAGGAAAUAAAAUGUUAGUUAUUCUAAUGUUAUUUUAACAUUAAGGUUUGUUUAAGGUUUGUUUUUUGGUUAGCCAGGAAAGUUUUCUUAACGGAAAUAGAGCGUUAGAUUUGGUUUGUAUAAGUUUUCUAACGAUAUUUUAACGUUCCUUUAAUGAUAUUCUAACAUUCUCCUAACAUUCCCCUUACAUUAGUCUUUGGUUUCUAGAACAUUCCCCUUACAUUGGUUUUUGGUUCCUAGAGUGUUCUUUUUUAAGGUUUGUUUUUAGUUAGCCAGGAAAGUUUUCUUAAUGGAAGUUUUAGUUUUUGAUUUGUAGAACGUUAUUCUAACGUUAUUCUAACGUUCCCCUAACGUUGUUUUAACGUUCCUCUUAUGUUAUUCUAACAUUCUCCUAAUGUUCUUCUAAAGUUGGUUCCCAGAUUGUUAGUUUUUGGUUAGCCAGGAAAUAAAAUGUUAGUUAUUCUAAUGUUCCCCUAACGUUAUUUUAACAUUAAGGUUUGUUUAAGGUUAAUUUUUGGUUAGCCAGGAAAGUUUUCUUAACGGAAAUAGAAUGUUAGAUUUGGUUUGUAUAAGUUUUCUAACGAUAUUUUAACGUUCCUUUAAUGAUAUUCUAACAUUCUCCUAACAUUCUCCUUACAUUAGUCUUUGGUUUCUAGAACAUUCCCCUUACAUUGGCUUUUGGUUCCUAGAGUGUUCUUUUUUAAGGUUUGUUUUUAGUUAGCCAGGAAAGUUUUCUUAAUGGAAGUUUUAUUUUUUGAUUUGUAGAACGUUAUUCUAACGUUCCCCUAACGUUGUUUUAACGUUCCUCUAAUGUUAUUCUAACAUUCUCCUAAUGUUCUUCUAAAGUUGGUUCCCAGAAUGUAAGUUUUUGGUUAGCCAGGAAAUAAAAUGUUAGUUAUUCUAAUGUUCCCCUAAAGUUAUUUUAACAGUUAUUCUAACGUUCCCCUAACAUUAUUUUAAUGUUCCCAUAAUGUUAUUCUAACGUUCCCCUAACCUCUUUACUCCAAUAUCAUUACCCCAAUGUACGUCAGUAAUCAUCCAGCUCACCCUCGACCCAGUAAUGAGACCAGAUGAUGAAAGUUAGCUGAUAGUUAGCUAUAAGUAAUUAUUCAAUAAAGAAAUGGAUAAACGAAUGUUAGUAAGUAAAAUGAAAUUAACAUUCUGUAAGUUAUUUGAGGUUAUUUAAAAAUAUCCUCCCUGCAAUGUUCUGGGAACGUUAUUUUAUGGUUGCUAAAAAUAAAACCUAAAAAGAUCUUUCACAGAGUGUUAUUAUUUGGUUCUCUAAAAUAACCAAACAGGAACCAAUUACUUAGGGGGAUGUUCUGUGUUUGCUGGGAUUUUUCUUUCCACAAGCUCAUUGAGUGAAAACAUGCUUAUAUCACUAUACUGUAUUUUAAUUCUUGCAUCAAAUCAUUUUAGUCACUUUGCAGCUUGUUUUUCCAAAUUAUGGCUUUUUUAAAAGAAAGAAAGAAAAAAAACUUGCCCAUUUAAGCCAAACAUUUUAUAAAUAGCAUUAAAAAAUCAUAAAUCUUUUCCCCUAAAACAUGCAGGUACCCAGAUGCCUUCAGAGGUUUCCAGUCAGAGAACUCAAGGGAGUCUCAUAAUUCAAUGUAAAUGGUUGUUUCCGCCUUAGAAUCACUUCAGCUGUGUCCCAACAACCUGUGACCUCUCAAGAAAGCGUGAUGACAGAGGUCAGCGCAUUACACCUGACAACCACAAUCAGCAUGGGCAUGUGCAGCUGGAAAUUACCAUUGUCAUUUAUGAGGAUAAUUAUUGUAAUCUCCUCAUACAUCAGCCAUUACCAGCAUAGUGUAUUGGAAAUGAGGGGUCUAUUGCUUAUGGAACAUUUGUCGCUUUAUUCACUUUGUCUCUCUCUCUCUCUCUCUCUCUCUUGCUAACCCUCUUUCUCUCUCUCUCUUUUUCUCACUCAUACUGAAACCACCUUUUUAUAUCAUUAAAUAACCAUCUCAUUCUUUGCCAACAGGUUUAAAUGAAAGGGACUGUGGCAUUACAAAGGCAUUCAGAAUUAAUUCUGCUCUCAGGGUAAUUGGCACAUGCGACGACAACAGGCUUUCAAUGCCACCUGUUUUUUCAUCACAAACAUCUGACUGUGGCACACCGCAUCUCAUAUAUCUGAAAAUGUCAUAGGGCUGUAAAUACUUUUUUUCAUAUAAGUGUGACUGUUCUACUUUUGCCUUUCAUACAUUUGCAAUGUUAGGUCUCUUAGUCAUUAUCACAAUACAGUCAAAAGUGAGCAAUAAUUGGUGUUGGAAAAGCCAUUUUAUAAUAUUAAUUUGGUCCAUUUUUACUGUUCAACAAGAUGACUGAUGAGUUUUGUUAGAGUCUAUGCCUUUCUGUUCUUAUUAAUAAGAAUAUCCUAUCAUGUAGUGUCACUAGAAUGUUAAGCUUGUUAAGUUUGUAGUGUUACAGUGAAACUAUGUGCCGAUAAAUCUGUUUAUCAGUAUCCAAAAUAUACAGUGGGGUCCAAAAGUCUGCAACCACUAGUAAAAAAUUCUAUUGAGCAAAUUUCUAAUUUAGUAUAUUAAAAAUUUUUCAUGGUAAUUAUAUUAUUAGGAUAGUAAUUUGAGUAAAAAGUUCAAUCAAAAAAAUAAAAUACAUUUCAGAAUAUCUUUAGUCCACAUGCUCAGUGUCACAAAUGUGCUUAUUUGAGCAGUGACCUUAUUUUCUUAUUUUUGCAUAUCAUUUUUUUUUUUUUUUUAAUAUCUUAAAACUUUAUGUUUUCCAAAUUUUUUACAAUGUUUUUUUUUUUCCAGUGUUUGGA